rfam:Bacillus galactosidilyticus strain PL133 scaffold000141, whole genome shotgun sequence.
AUAUUCCUUCGGGGCAGGGUGAAAUUCCCUACCGGCGGUGAUGAGCAAUCAUGCUCUUAGUCCGUGACCCGGAUGCUUUUGUAUAAGCAGAAGGUGGAUUUGGUGGAAUUCCAAAGCCGACAGUGAAAGUCUGGAUGGGAGAAGGAGAAU